rnacentral:rRNA from 1 species
AACGAACGCUGGCGGCAUGCCUAACACAUGCAAGUCGAACGAGAUCUUCGGGUCUAGUGGCGCACGGGUGCGUAACGCGUGGGAAUCUGCCCUUUGGUUCGGAAUAACAGUUGGAAACGACUGCUAAUACCGGAUGAUGACGAAAGUCCAAAGAUUUUUGGCCAGAGGAUGAGCCCGCGUAGGAUUAGUUAGUUGGUGUGGUAAAGGCGCACCAAGGCGACGAUCCUUAGCUGGUCUGAGAGGAUGAUCAGCCACACUGGGACUGAGACACGGCCCAGACUCCUACGGGAGGCAGCAGUGGGGAAUAUUGGACAAUGGGCGAAAGCCUGAUCCAGCAAUGCCGCGUGAGUGAUGAAGGCCUUAGGGUUGUAAAGCUCUUUUACCCGGGAUGAUAAUGACAGUACCGGGAGAAUAAGCUCCGGCUAACUCCGUGCCAGCCGCCGCGGUAA